CCUACGGGAGGCAGCAGUGAGGAAUAUUGGUCAAUGGGCGCGAGCCUGAACCAGCCAAGUCGCGUGAAGGAUGACUGCCCUACGGGUUGUAAACUUCUUUUAUAAAGGAAUAAAGUGAGGCACGUGUACCUUUUUGUAUGUACUUUAUGAAUAAGGAUCGGCUAACUCCGUGCCAGCAGCCGCGGUAAUACGGAGGAUUCGAGCGUUAUCCGGAUUUAUUGGGUUUAAAGGGAGCGUAGAUGGGUUGUUAAGUUAGUUGUGAAAGUUUGCGGCUCAACCGCAAAAUUGCAAUUGAUACUGGCAGUCUUGAGUAUAGUUGAGGUAGGCGGAAUGCGUGGUGUAGCGGUGAAAUGCUUAGAGAUCAUGAAGAACUCCGAUUGCGAAGGCAGCUUACUAAACUGCCACUGACAUUGAUGCUCGAAAGUGUGGGGAUCAAACAGGAUUAGAUACCCCAGUAGUC
rnacentral:rRNA from 1 species